rnacentral:rRNA from 1 species
AUUGAACGCUGGCGGCAUGCCUUACACAUGCAAGUCGAACGGCAGCACGGGAGCAAUCCUGGUGGCGAGUGGCGAACGGGUGAGUAAUAUAUCGGAACGUGCCCAGUAGUGGGGGAUAACUGCUCGAAAGAGCAGCUAAUACCGCAUACGACCUAAGGGUGAAAGGGGGGGAUCGCAAGACCUCUCGCUAUUGGAGCGGCCGCUAUCAGAUUAGCUAGUGGGUGGGGUAAAGGCCUGCCAAGGCAACGAUCUGUAGUUGGUCUGAGAGGGCUACCGGCCACACUGGGACUGAGACACCGCGCCGGCUCCUACGGGAGGCAGCAGUGGGGAAUUAUGGACAAUGGGCGCAAGCGUGUUCCAGUAAUGCCGCGUGCAGGAAGAAGGCAUUCGGGUUGUAAACUGCUUUUUUCAGGGAAGAAAUCCUCUAUGUUAAUACCCUUGGGGGGAUGACGGUACCUGAAGAAUAAGCACCGGCUAACUACGUGCCAGCCGCCGCGGUAAUAC